rnacentral:lncRNA from 1 species
AAGACACUUCAUUCAUGUUGGAACAAGUGUUGAAUGACAUCUCAAAGCUUAAGAAUGAAGAAAAUCAAGUCAGGACAAAAACUGCCAAAAAUAGCAGGUGACUUGUAACUGAAGUUUCCAAAAAUGGAAAGUUUUGACCUCAAAAACAGAUGUCCAAGGAAGCUUCAAAUGAAAAAUUGUUCAACAUGACAGAUGUAGAUCUUGUUCUCACCUUUCCAAAAAGUCCAAGAACUUGAAAAUCCAAUGUGUGGUUUGCAAAAUAUGGCUCAGUG